rnacentral:rRNA from 1 species
CAGCCGCCGCGGUAAUACAGAGGGUGCAAGCGUUAAUCGGAAUUACUGGGCGUAAAGCGCGCGUAGGUGGUUUGUUAAGUUGGAUGUGAAAUCCCCGGGCUCAACCUGGGAACUGCAUUCAAAACUGACUGACUAGAGUAUGGUAGAGGGUGGUGGAAUUUCCUGUGUAGCGGUGAAAUGCGUAGAUAUAGGAAGGAACACCAGUGGCGAAGGCGACCACCUGGACUAAUACUGACGCUGAGGUACGAAAGCAUGGGGAGCAAACAGGAUUAGAUACCCCCGUAGUCCCUGUCUCUUAUAC